rnacentral:rRNA from 1 species
UACGGAGGGUGCGAGCGUUGUCCGGAAUCACUGGGCGUAAAGGGUGCGUAGGCGGGUUUCUAAGUCAGAGGUGAAAGCCUGGAGCUCAACUCCAGAACUGCCUUUGAUACUGGAAGUCUUGAGUUCGGGAGAGGUGAGUGGAACUGCGAGUGUAGAGGUGAAAUUCGUAGAUAUUCGCAAGAACACCAGUGGCGAAGGCGGCUCACUGGCCCGAUACUGACGCUGAGGCACGAAAGCGUGGGGAGCAAACAGG